rnacentral:sRNA from 1 species
UGAUAAUUUUUAUUUUUGUUGUGUUUAGCAUGUUGAUGCAGCUUUGGAGUUGAUGAAAACGAGGAAGGAAAGCAAUCCAGAAUUAUUCAAAAACAAAACAGUUGUAUUUGUUGGAUCGUCUUUCUUAAAUGCGAUUGAUGAGUCAUACAUGGAGUUUUUGGAUGAUAAAGAGGGAUUUCAGUUUCAAUCUGAAGAAAUCAGUAAGCUGGUAAUAGAGGAAGAAACCAAGUGCAUAUUGACUCCUUUCUGUAUCAAAGGAAAAUGCUGGGUUGCCUUGCUAAUCCACUUGGAACAGAAGACAGUUUGUAUAUGGGAAUGUGCAGCUUCUUAUUUAACAGAAGAAGUCAAGAAAAAAUAUGUUGUUGCCUACUCUAUAGCUAUGCCAUACAUUGUUCGGAACAUCCUCAAAAAAGAAGACAUGGAUGUCUCUCCAUUUAGCAUCAAAGUCCUGACCACUUUUCCUUAGGUAACUUCUUUAAAUAUAUCAUAGUCUUAACUUCCGUAAGUCCUGACUUCUUUAACUUCUUUGCUCAAGUAAUUCUUUUGGUUUUUGGUGGUAGGCUCCUAGAAAUGAAGAGUCUGGUAUCUAUGUGCUGAAGUUUAUGGAAUGCUACUCAAUGUAUACCAGCCAUUCAAACCUUGAAGGGAACAUAAUUCAAAACGUAAGAAAUAAAUUGGCUGCUGACAUCUUCACCGAAUUAGAGUCAGUCAGUUUGUAGAAGUAGAAGACUUCUAAUCAAAAAGUAGUGGAGUAUAAGAUAGAUUUAGCAGCUUUUGUUUCUUAUUUCAUAAAACUUUGUCAUUUGAAUAUUUUAUGAACAUCUGUAUGGAACAAAAUUUAUGAAGUUUAUUUAGUUCAACUCCUGUUUAACAAAAUUACUUUAUAAUGGUUGUUUGGGUUAACAAGUGCUUUGAUUUGAAUGGAAAAGGACUUUAAACAUGCUUUUAAACAGAGGUUUUUAACGAUAUACAAGCUGUUUUAAAAGGAUUUUAAAAGUGUUGAAAAAGCUGCAACAGCGGUUAUUAGGAAAAAAUUUACAACCGUUUUUAAAAUGAUUUACAACCGUUUUUAAAAGAGAAUUUCAACCGUUUUUAAAAGAGAAUUUCAACCGUUUUUAAAGAAAUUUACAAUCGUUUUUAAAAGAAUUUUAAAAGUGUUGAAAAAGCUGCAGUAGCUGCUAGUAUGAAAAGAUUUACAACUGUUUUUAAAAUAAUUUACAACCGUUUUUAAAGAGAUUUACAACCGUUUAUGAUUUGAAUGGAAAAGACUUUAAAAUAACAGGUUUUUUAACGAUUUACAAGCUGUUUUAAAAGCGUUUUAAAAGUGUUGAAAAAGCUGCAGUAGCUGUUAUUAUGAAAAGAUUUACAACCGUUUUUAAAAGAGAAUUUCAACCGUUGAAAAAGUUACAGUAAUGUUAAACAUUGUAUCUGUUACUAAUUGGGCCUAGGCCAGUUAUUUAGAAAAACAAACGGUUUUAGUAAAAAAAAAACUAAAAGCCAAAAAAACACUAAAGCCCAAAAAUUCACUAUAACCCAAAAACAAAAAAGGAAGGGAACCAUGGAAAGACAAAAAAGGUAACAAAAAAAAGAAAAGAAAAAAAAGAAGAGAAACUGUCGUCUUCGUCUUCUUCCUUUCAACAAUCUGAAGAAAAUCCGAUUAUCCAGCAAAACGGAAGCAAUUGAAGGUAACAAAUUGACGAAAUUGAAGUUUAACAUUUGGGUUUGUUCGAUUUUGUUUAUUUUUGCCGAAUCUCUUUUUUGUUCUAGCAUUUCUAGGGUUUUCGGUUGAAAACGAAACAAGUAAAAUAGAUUGAUAUUUGAGAUUUUGAAGGAGGGUUAGAAAUUGUUUUU